CCUACGGGAGGCUGCAGUGAGGAAUAUUGGUCAAUGGACGAGAGUCUGAACCAGCCAAGUAGCGUGAAGGAUGACUGCCCUAUGGGUUGUAAACUUCUUUUAUAUGGGAAUAAAACGUUCCACGUGUGGGAUUUUGUAUGUACCAUAUGAAUAAGGAUCGGCUAACUCCGUGCCAGCAGCCGCGGUAAUACGGAGGAUCCGAGCGUUAUCCGGAUUUAUUGGGUUUAAAGGGAGCGUAGGUGGAUUGUUAAGUCAGUUGUGAAAGUUUGCGGCUCAACCGUAAAAGUGCAGUUGAAACUGGCAGUCUUGAGUACAGUAGAGGUGGGCGGAAUUCGUGGUGUAGCGGUGAAAUGCUUAGAUAUCACGAAGAACUCCGAUUGCGAAGGCAGUUCACUGGACUGCAACUGACACUGAGGCUCGAAAGUGUGGGUAUCAAACAGGAUUAGAUACCCUUGUAGUC
rnacentral:rRNA from 1 species